rnacentral:lncRNA from 1 species
AAAAAAGGCAUCUCCCAAGGCUAUGAGGAUGAGAGAGUACCCAAUGACCAAAAUUUGGAGAGUCUGCUCCUUGAAUGGACCUCAAUUUUUAAAAUUAUUUUUGGCUGUCUGUACUUUAUUCCACCUUCUGUGUCUCCCCUCUUUCCCAUCUCCUUCAUGCCAAGUCAUACGACUUCCAUUGGCUGAAUUUAGUGUGACACUGAGAGUCAUGACCAUUAUGCUACUCUUGUAUCCAAGGGCAUCCAACCUUACAAAACUGAUACGAAACAUGUUAUAGAAGAAAUGCCAAAGGAAAAGUAAUAGGUCUGAGGAAGUCAGGACAGGCCCAGAGGGCAUGCAAACCAGAGUCUGAAGCCUGCUGUAGUCACAGUACCCUCUCAUCUCUGACAAAGAGC